GACGAACGCUGGCGGCGUGCUUAACACAUGCAAGUCGAACGGAAAGGCCCUGCUUUUGUGGGGUGCUCGAGUGGCGAACGGGUGAGUAACACGUGAGUAACCUGCCCUUGACUUUGGGAUAACUUCAGGAAACUGGGGCUAAUACCGGAUAGGAGCUCCUGCUGCAUGGUGGGGGUUGGAAAGUUUCGGCGGUUGGGGAUGGACUCGCGGCUUAUCAGCUUGUUGGUGGGGUAGUGGCUUACCAAGGCUUUGACGGGUAGCCGGCCUGAGAGGGUGACCAGCCACAUUGGGACUGAGAUACGGCCCAGACUCCUACGGGAGGCAGCAGUGGGGAAUAUUGCACAAUGGGCGGAAGCCUGAUGCAGCAACGCCGCGUGCGGGAUGACGGCCUUCGGGGUGUAAACCGCUUUCGCCUGUGACGAAGCGUGAGUGACGGUAAUGGGUAAAGAAGCACCGGCUAACUACGUG
rnacentral:rRNA from 1 species